rnacentral:rRNA from 1 species
UGCGGAGGGUGCAAGCGUUAUCCGGAUUCACUGGGUUUAAAGGGUGCGUAGGAGGGCAGGUAAGUCCGUGGUGAAAUCUCUGAGCUUAACUCAGAAACUGCCGUGGAUACUACCGGUCUUGAAUAUCGUGGAGGUGAGCGGAAUAUGUCAUGUAGCGGUGAAAUGCUUAGAUAUGACAUAGAACACCAAUUGCGAAGGCAGCUCACUACCCGAAUAUUGACUCUGAGGCACGAAAGCGUGGGGAUCAAACAGG